GAUGAACGCUGGCGGCGUGCCUAAUACAUGCAAGUCGAGCGAACAGACGAGGAGCUUGCUCCUCUGACGUUAGCGGCGGACGGGUGAGUAACACGUGGAUAACCUACCUAUAAGACUGGGAUAACUUCGGGAAACCGGAGCUAAUACCGGAUAAUAUAUUGAACCGCAUUGUUCAAUAGUGAAAGACGGUUUUGCUGUCACUUAUAGAUGGAUCCGCGCCGCAUUAGCUAGUUGGUAAGGUAACGGCUUACCAAGGCAACGAUGCGUAGCCGACCUGAGAGGGUGAUCGGCCACACUGGAACGGAGACACGGUCCAGACUCCUACGGGAGGCAGCAGUAGGGAAUCUUCCGCAAUGGGCGAAAGCUUGACGGAGCAACGCCGCGUGAGUGAUGAAGGUCUUCGGAUCGUAAAACUCUGUUAUUAGGGAAGAACAAAUGUGUAAGUAACUAUGCACGUCUUGACGGUACCUAAUCAGAAAGCCACGGCUAACUACGUG
rnacentral:rRNA from 1 species